CCAGCCCCUUGGCCCCGGUACCGGGACGGUACCGGGACGGUCCCGGGACGCUUCCCGCGCCCCCCCAGCCCCGGUGCCACCGUCCCCACGUUGUUCCCGUGUCCCCCCGUGUCCCCUGCCCUGCCCCGGUCACCGCUGCCAUGAGCGGGGCAGGGCUCAGCGUGUCCCGCCGUGUCCCGGCACCGAUCGUGUUUCCCCCGUGAUCAAUUAUAGAUGGGGACCCGCGGCGGGGGGAGCGCGGAGCUCCAGCGCCUCCUCUGCACUAUGGGGUGGGUGUCCCAGCCCUGAGGGUCCCGGGUGGGCGAGGGGCACCGGGGGGCUGGGGCGGGGGACUCGGGAUUGGUUUUGGGGGUGACCGGAGGAGCCGCCCCCGCGCUGCCCCCGGCUCGGCCCGGGCUCAGAUUCCUUUUGUGCGGAGCAAGCGGCCGCUGAAACUUUAAUGAAGCCACCGGAUCGCCCGUCCGGCCCGCCCCGCUGCCCGCGGCUCCGCCGGCUGCGGCCCCGCCGAGCCCCUCGCCAUGGCCCAGGGCUUCUGGCGGCUCUACAAGGCCAAGGUGCUGCAGACCCUGGGGGCGCCGCGCCCCGACGGGGCCCUGCAGGACGAGGCAGAGCCCCCCGAGCUGAUGGAGACGGCCGAGCCCCCCGCGCUGCUGGAGGAGGGGGCCAGCCCCGUGUCCCAGCUGGCCCGGAAGGUGCAGGGGGUCGGGGCCCGCGGCUGGCGGACGCUUUCGUCCCUCUUCACCCGCGAGGACGAGCACCAGCUGCUGAGCCCGGAGCCCUGCCCGGACCAGUGAGUUACAGAGCGCUGGGGGGACCCCAGAACCCCGAUCCGACCCCCGGGACCUGCCCAGCCCACCCGUAUCCCCCCACCCCGUCGCCUGCAUCCCCCUGCCCAGUGGGCAGGGACGGGCCACGGUGGGCCGGGGGGAAGGUCCCGGUCCCUGCCCCGACAUUCCCGUCCCCGCUCUCUCCCGCAGCCCUCUGGCCGAGCCGCCCGAGCCGCCCCACACCGAGAAGGCCCCCGGGUUUUGGGAUCUCUUCGCUACCAAGUGGCAGCAGGCGGCGGGGCCCGACAAGGCGGGGCCGCCCCCGGAGCCCGACGAGAGCCCGGGGGAGCCGCCGGGUGACGACGGCAGCGACCUGCGGGAGCCGGAGGAAGGCGCCUUCCACUGGGGCUUCCUGGCCGGCAAACUGGCCGAGAUCCGCAAUAAAAGCGCCCCCAAGGGCAACUAGACGAGGGGGCAGCAGCAGGACUCAACAGAAGUUAUUUGCGGUCCCCAUUGCUGGUGGGCAGCGCCCGCCCGUGCCCGAGGGCUCUGCCCUGGGUUUGGGUGUCACAGCUGCACAAAGACCCCGAAAUUCCCUUUUCCCUGAGCUCUGCCUGCUGCUUUCCUUCCCUCA
rnacentral:lncRNA from 1 species